rnacentral:rRNA from 1 species
UACGUAGGGCGCAAGCGUUAUCCGGAAUUAUUGGGCGUAAAGAGCUCGUAGGCGGUUUGUCGCGUCUGCCGUGAAAGUCCGGGGCUCAACUUCGGAUCUGCGGUGGGUACGGGCAGACUAGAGUGAUGUAGGGGAGACUGGAAUUCCUGGUGUAGCGGUGAAAUGCGCAGAUAUCAGGAGGAACACCGAUGGCGAAGGCAGAUCUCUGGGCCGUAACUGACGCUGAGGAGCGAAAGCAUGGGGAGCGAACAGG